AGCUUCCGUUGANUGACGUGCUUGCACUGAUUUCAACAAUGAAGCGAGUGGCGAACUGGAGAGUAACACGUGGGAAAUCUGCCCAGAAGCAGGGGAUAACACUUGGAAACAGGUGCUAAUACCGUAUAACAACAAAAUCCGCAUGGAUUUUGUUUGAAAGGUGGCUUCGGCUAUCACUUCUGGAUGAUCCCGCGGCGUAUUAGUUAGUUGGUGAGGUAAAGGCCCACCAAGACGAUGAUACGUANCCGACCUGAGAGGGUAAUCGGCCACAUUGGGACUGAGACACGGCCCAAACUCCUACGGGAGGCAGCAGUAGGGAAUCUUCCACAAUGGACGAAAGUCUGAUGGAGCAAUGCCGCGUGAGUGAAGAAGGGUUUCGGCUCGUAAAACUCUGUUGUUAAAGAANAACACCUUUGAGAGUAACUGUUCAAGGGUUGACGGUAUUUAACCAGAAAGCCACGGCUAACUACGUGCCAGCAGCCGCGGUAAUACGUAGGUGGCAAGCGUUGUCCGGAUUUAUUGGGCGUAAAGCGAGCGCAGGCGGUUUUUUAAGUCUGAUGUGAAAGCCUUCGGCUUAACCGGAGAAGUGCAUCGGAAACUGGGAGACUUGAGUGCAGAAGAGGACAGUGGAACUCCAUGUGUAGCGGUGGAAUGCGUAGAUAUAUGGAAGAACACCAGUGGCGAAGGCGGCUGUCUAGUCUGUAACUGACGCUGANGCUCGAAAGCAUGGGUAGCGAACAGGAUUAGAUACCCNGGNANNCCAUGCCGUAAACGAUGAGUGCUAAGUGUUGNAGGGUUUCCGCCCUUCAGUGCUGCAGCUAACGCAUUA
rnacentral:rRNA from 2 species